rnacentral:misc_RNA from 1 species
AAAAUGCGAUAGUUCAAACGAACUGCAAUUUCUGUGAAUCAUGAGAUUUUGAAUGUAACUUACGCUUUUGAUACUUGUGUCAAAAGUUAUUUUGUUGGAGGGAAACAAAUUUAUCUAAGCGUAUUUAUAUACUUAUUUAAAUUAAGUUAAUCAAAGGUAAAAGCUCUCCUUUGAUUAUAUAUAAGAGUAAUAUAGAGCACCUUAAAAGGCUUUAUGUUUCAGUGUGUUUAGUGAAAUAAUGUAUGACUUUGAAUUAACAAGUCUUAUGUGAAUAUUCACUAGAAUUACCAUUUUUAACCUCCAAUCAAAAUAGAUUACUCGGUGAAUUUAA